rnacentral:lncRNA from 1 species
AACAAGCACAUUACCUUAUCCUUUUUUUAUGUGUAUGAACACUUACUGAAUCAGGUAAAAUAAAAUAAUGCCAUUGUAAUUUUAUACAUAGUAUAAAUUAACUUACCAUCAAAUAAUUUACUUUGGAUAUGUAUUUAUUCUUAUAGAUAUACUUCCCUUUUUAUUGUCAUAAUUAAGUUAUUUUAAUUUUUUUUUUUUUUGUUUUUCUUAAUUUUAUGAAUAUGUAAAAAUGUGUCUUUUUUUGUCAUAUAUCAUUAAAUGAAGUAUGUAUAGGUAUUCAUGAGUAUCUUUUUUUUUUAAUAAAAAAUAUUCAUCUUCUUUCCUUUUUUUUGUUUUUCUGUUUUUCUAUUUUUUUGUUUUUUUGUUUGUUUUUCUCCAAUACAUGUAAAAAUGUAUCGAUCGUUGCCUAUAAUUUUAUUUUCCUUUUUUAACUUAAUACUCGAUAUAAAUUGUUUUGUUAAAGAUUAUGAUGGCGUGAAAGACUUAAAUAAUUGCUCAAGUCUUCACUGUUCUUAUAAUAACUUAUCAGAAAUAUAUAAAAAUUCUCAAAGUAUUUUAGCAGAGUUAGAGAAUUUAUUGUACGAUGUGCGUAAUCAUAAAAGUAUGCAUCAGACAGAACAUGAAUACAAUAAAAAAUUGGAUUUUGACAUAAAAUUUCCAAAUAAAACGGAUUAUGAAGAUUUGUCAUAUUUUCCAUCAGAAGAUGAAUAUGAAAAUCUUGACCAUUAUACGGAGCCAGUUCCAUAUAUAAUUAUUGAUAAAACAGAUAAAGAUAAUUUCGAAGAAUCUAUACUAGUAAUACGCAAAAAUAUAAAUAUAUACAUACACGUAUAUGUUUACUAUAUAAUCUGGAUAAAUUAUAAUUUAU